UACGUAGGGUGCGAGCGUUAAUCGGAAUUACUGGGCGUAAAGCGUGCGCAGGCGGUUGGGCAAGACAGAGGUGAAAUCCCCGGGCUUAACCUGGGAACUGCCUUUGUGACUGCACGGCUAGAGUGUGUCAGAGGGGGGUAGAAUUCCACGUGUAGCGGUGAAAUGCGUAGAGAUGUGGAGGAAUACCGAUGGCGAAGGCAGCCCCCUGGGAUAACACUGACGCUCAUGCACGAAAGCGUGGGGAGCAAACAGG
rnacentral:rRNA from 1 species